GAUGAAGAACGCAGUGAAAUGCGAUAAGUAAUGUGAAUUGCAGAAUUCAGUGAAUCAUCGAAUCUUUGAACGCACCUUGCGCCCUUUGGCUAUUCCGAAGGGCAUGCCUGUUCGAGCGUCAUUUCAACCCUCAAGCUCUGCUUGGUGUUGGGCCCUGCCCGCUGCGGCCGGCCCUAAAGACAGUGGCGGUGCCGCCUGGCCCUGAGCGUAGUACAUCUCUCGCUCCAGUGCCCGGUGGUAGCCUGCCAGAACCCCAACUCUCGUGGUUGACCUCGGAUCAGGUAGGGAUACCCGCUGAACUUAAGCAUAUCAAUAAGCGGAGGA
rnacentral:misc_RNA from 1 species